AGAGUUUGAUCCUGGCUCAGGAUGAACGCUGGCGGCGUGCUUAACACAUGCAAGUCGAACGAACCUUCGGGUUAGUGGCGGACGGGUGAGUAACGCGUGAGAAUCUGCCCUCAGGAGGGGGACAACAGUUGGAAACGACUGCUAAUACCCCAUAUGCCGCGAGGUGAAAUGAAUUUCGCCUGAGGAUGAGCUCGCGUCUGAUUAGCUAGUUGGUGUAGGUAAUGGCUCACCAAGGCAUCGAUCAGUAGCUGGUCUGAGAGGAUGAUCAGCCACACUGGGACUGAGACACGGCCCAGACUCCUACGGGAGGCAGCAGUGGGGAAUUUUCCGCAAUGGGCGAAAGCCUGACGGAGCAACGCCGCGUGAGGGAUGAAGGCCUCUGGGCUGUAAACCUCUUUUAUCAAGGAAGAAGAUCUGACGGUACUUGAUGAAUAAGCCACGGCUAAUCCCGUGCCAGCAGCCGCGGUAAUACGGGAGUGGCAAGCGUUAUCCGGAAUUAUUGGGCGUAAAGCGUCCGCAGGCGGCCCUUCAAGUCUGCUGUUAAAAAGUGGAGCUUAACUCCAUCAUGGCAGUGGAAACUGUUGGGCUUGAGUGUGGUAGGGGCAGAGGGAAUUCCCGGUGUAGCGGUGAAAUGCGUAGAUAUCGGGAAGAACACCAGUGGCGAUGGCGCUCUGCUGGGCCAUCACUGACGCUCAUGGACGAAAGCCAGGGGAGCGAAAGGGAUUAGAUACCCCUGUAGUCCUGGCCGUAAACGAUGAACACUAGGUGUCGGGGGAAUCGACCCCCUCGGUGUCGUAGCCAACGCGUUAAGUGUUCCGCCUGGGGAGUACGCACGCAAGUGUGAAACUCAAAGGAAUUGACGGGGGCCCGCACAAGCGGUGGAGUAUGUGGUUUAAUUCGAUGCAACGCGAAGAACCUUACCAGGGUUUGACAUCCUGCGAAUCUCUUGGAAACGAGAGAGUGCCUUCGGGAACGCAGUGACAGGUGGUGCAUGGCUGUCGUCAGCUCGUGUCGUGAGAUGUUGGGUUAAGUCCCGCAACGAGCGCAACCCACGUCUUUAGUUGCCAGCAUUUAGUUGGGCACUCUAGAGAGACCGCCGGUGAUAAACCGGAGGAAGGUGUGGAUGACGUCAAGUCAUCAUGCCCCUUACAUCCUGGGCUACACACGUACUACAAUGCUACGGACAAAGGGCAGCAAGUUCGCGAGGACAAGCAAAUCCCAUAAACCGUGGCUCAGUUCAGAUCGUAGGCUGCAACUCGCCUACGUGAAGGAGGAAUCGCUAGUAAUCGCAGGUCAGCAUACUGCGGUGAAUACGUUCCCGGGCCUUGUACACACCGCCCGUCACACCAUGGAAGUUGGCCACGCCCGAAGCCGUUACUCCAACCCUUGUGGAGGAGGACGUCGAAGGUGGGGCUGAUGACUGGGGUGAAGUCGUAACAAGGUAACC
rnacentral:rRNA from 1 species